rnacentral:rRNA from 1 species
AGGACGAACGCUGGCGGCGUGCUUAACACAUGCAAGUCGAACGGUGAAGGAGAGCUUGCUCUCCGGAUCAGUGGCGAACGGGUGAGUAACACGUGAGUAACCUGCCCUUGACUCUGGGAUAAGCGUUGGAAACGACGUCUAAUACCGGAUACGAGCUUCAGCCGCAUGGCUAGGAGCUAGGGAAAG